UCAGCCUUCCGGUAGGAAGGGCAGAGGAGUGCUCUAUUAUUCUGUGUGUUGAUCCCAAGAGGACUCAGCAUCGACUCAUCCUUCGCCACAUUGGCUCCCUCACAGGGAGCAGCCUGUACCUCUCCUUCUUGUUCAUUGAUCCCUGGCUUCAGCAGAUUCCUGGCUUUAUCCAGAUAAGUACCUGUGUCCUGGGUGUGUUUCUUCUCGUGACAUUGGCCACCUCUCGCAUGGCAUUGACUGGAUGCCCCUAUCAAGGGUAGCUGACUCUGGUCCUCUAGUCCACCCAGCCUCCUCGACUUAUACCCACGGUGCUGCCAUCACCGCUGUUGUCGUCUACUGUUGUAAUUUGCACAGGAAAGCCGGAAUGUCAUUUUUCUUAACGCUUCUCAGAUUCACAAGGUUAGAUGGGAGUUUCAAGCUGCUCCAGUCGUGGCCUGGCCUUCUGAAGUCAAAAGCUCAAUUAAAGGCUUUCACUCGUUA